rnacentral:rRNA from 1 species
GAGGAAAAGAAACCAACAGGGAUUGCCUCAGUAACUGCGAGUGAAGCGGCAAAAGCUCAAAUUUGAAAUCUGGCGUCUCUGACGUCCGAAUUGUGAUUUGGAGAGGCAACUUCGGUGAUGGCGCCGUCCUAAGUUCCUUGGAACAGGAUGACACAGAGGGUGAGAUCCCCGUACCUGGGUGGCUGUCCAUCGCCAUGUGAAGUGUCUUCGACGAGUCGAGUUGUUUGGGAAUGCAGCUCAAAAUGGGUGGUAAAUUUCAUCUAAAGCUAAAUAUUGGCGAGAGACCGAUAGCGCACAAGUAGAGUGAUCGAAAGAUGAAAAGCACUUUGAAAAGAGAGUUAAAAAGUACGUGAAAUUGUUGAAAGGGAAGCGCUUGAGACCAGACUCGAUUCGUGGUGAUCAGCUGUGCUUCUGUGCAGUGCACUUGCCAUGGAUUGGGCCAGCAUCGGUUCCGACGGUGGGAUAAAAGGUUGAGGAAUGUAGCUUCCUUCGGGGAGUGUUAUAGCCUCAGCCAUAAUGCCACCAGUUGGGACCGAGGACCGCGCUCCGGCUAGGAUGCUGGCGUAAUGGUCUUAAGCGACCCGUCUGAAAACACGGACCA